rnacentral:rRNA from 1 species
GAUGAACGCUAGCUACAGGCUUAACACAUGCAAGUCGAGGGGAAACGACAUCGAAAGCUUGCUUUUGAUGGGCGUCGACCGGCGCACGGGUGAGUAACGCGUAUCCAACCUGCCCAUCACUUGGGAAUAACCUUGCGAAAGUAAGACUAAUACCCAAUGAUAUCCCACGUAGGCAUCGGAAUGGGAUUAAAGAUUUAUCGGUGAUGGAUGGGGAUGCGUCUGAUUAGCUUGUUGGCGGGGUAACGGCCCACCAAGGCAACGAUCAGUAGGGGUUCUGAGAGGAAGGUCCCCCACAUUGGAACUGAGACAAGGUCCAAACUCCUACGGGAGGCAGCAGUGAGGAAGAGUGGUCAAUGAGCGAGAGCCUGAACCAGCCAAGUAGCGUGCAGGAAGACGGGCCUAUGGGUUGUAAACUGCUUUUAUAAGGGAAUAAAGUGGGUCACGUGUGACUUUUUGCAUGUACCUUAUGAAUAAGGACCGGCUAAUUCCGUG